AUGUCCAUAGGUUGCUUCGUCAACGCGUUCUUGCUGGCCAUGUUCUACAUCGUGUGCAUCGGCAGCACGGCCGUGAUGGUCAGCAUUUUCAUCGACCAGGUGCGGAGGCCCCACAGCAUGGGCUCCAUCGUCAAGUCCUCGUUCUUACUCAUCUUCUGGGUCAUCUUCUUCGCUGUUACGUGCACGGUCUUGUGCUGCUUCACCUUCUCGCAGUCGGCGGUGCGUCCAUGCCUGGCCUCCGCCUCCGGGGCUCUCCGUGGCGCGGGCCGGCUUCUCUGCCUUUCGUGCCGGUGUGCGGGCGCCAGGCUACGGCACGGAAGCGGCGGCGGCGGCAGCGCUCUGCCGCAGUUUCUGGACCAGACAUCGAGUCAUAUGCCCGUGCUCGCCCGGGAGCCACCGGUGCAUGGCGGCGCGUGGGUGGCGACAGCGUAUGACAUCCCGGCAUACGAGCAACCGGAGGGUGGUGGCGGAUCGGAGUGCGCGGUCUGCCUCGGGUAG
rnacentral:rRNA from 1 species